GUGCCAGCCGCCGCGGUAAUACGGAGGAUGCGAGCGUUAUCCGGAUUUAUUGGGUUUAAAGGGUGCGCAGGCGGGAUUUUAAGUCAGCGGUGAAAUUUUCAGGCUCAACCUGAACACUGCCGUUGAAACUGGGAUUCUUGGGUAUGGAUGAAGUAGGCGGAAUUCCAUUGUUAGCGGUGUCAUGCUUAGAUAAAACGAGGAACUCCGAUUGCGUAGGCAGCUUACUA
rnacentral:rRNA from 1 species